UGGCUCUAAUACAGCCGGGGGAUGACGGUACCGGAAGAAUAAGCACCGGCUAACUACGUGCCAGCAGCCGCGGUAAUACGUAGGGUGCGAGCGUUAAUCGGAAUUACUGGGCGUAAAGCGUGCGCAGGCGGUUCGCUAAGACCGAUGUGAAAUCCCCGGGCUCAACCUGGGAACUGCAUUGGUGACUGGCGGGCUAGAGUAUGGCAGAGGGGGGUAGAAUUCCACGUGUAGCAGUGAAAUGCGUAGAGAUGUGGAGGAAUACCGAUGGCGAAGGCAGCCCCCUGGGCCAAUACUGACGCUCAUGCACGAAAGCGUGGGGAGCAAACAGGAUUAGAUACCCUGGUAGUCCACGCCCUAAACGAUGUCAACUAGUUGUUGGGGAUUCAUUUCCUUAGUAACGUAGCUAACGCGUGAAGUUGACCGCCUGGGGAGUACGGUCGCAAGAUUAAAACUCAAAGGAAUUGACGGGGACCCGCACAAGCGGUGGAUGAUGUGGAUUAAUUCGAUGCAACGCGAAAAACCUUACCUACCCUUGACAUGGUCGGAAUCCUGAAGAGAUUCGGGAGUGCUCGAAAGAGAACCGGC
rnacentral:rRNA from 1 species